UGGUGUUUUUCUUCCUGUUUUAUGCAAGUUUUCAUUCAAUGGUGUAGGAAUCAAUGAAUUGAGAAAUUGAUGAUGCCUCAGUCAUCAAGUUUUGUCUCCAAAUAGCUCCAGCAUCAGCUGCAGAGUUGGGUCAUUGCAAAAAAUAAGGGCAUGCAGUCGUUGUCUCGUUUUGCUUCGCCUACUAAGGGUUUCGAAGGAAGGAGCUCAGUACAUAAGAAGAAUGCAUUCCUGAACUCUCUUGACCAAUUUGACAGUGUUGCCUAUUGCAUCCUCUCAAAGUUUUACUUUUGUCAAUUUUUGGUUUCAGUCAUCUACAUUGAGAUACUAUGUUAGAAUAUGAAAUUUCAUUGUAAAUUCAUAUACAUAAAUGGAAAAGAGUGAACUUCAAAAA